rnacentral:rRNA from 1 species
UCCUCAAUUGAUUAUUUGAGGUAUGACCUGCUCAAUGCAAGAAUGUAAAUAGCCGCAGUACUCUGACUGUGCGAAGGUAGCAUAAUAAGUUGGCCUUUAAUUGGGGUCUGGAAUGAAUGGUUUGACAAGGAUUUAACUGUCUUAAAGUAAAGUUUUUUUGAAAUUGAAUUGUUUGUAAAAAUGCAAACAUAAGAAAGAGGGACGAAAAGACCCUAUAGAUCUUUAAAGAGUUAUUCGAAAAAAGUUUGGAUAGGCUUUUUUUAUUUGGGGAAAAUCCUGAAAUAAACAUAAAAAAUCAAACUUCGGUUAAAAUGUUUUUAUAAAAAUUUUAAUGAUUGAUUUUCGAUCCACAAGGAGUGAAAAAAUGAAAAAGUUACCUUAGGGAUAACAGGACAAUGAUCUUUGAAGAGGCCUUAUCUUUAAAGACGUUUGUUACCUCGAUGUUGAAUUAAGUUAUCUUAUUAAAGAAGAAGUUCUUAGAGUUGGUCUGUUCGACCAUUAAAAAC